GGAUAUGAGGGUGAUCUGGCUGUGACAUUUGCCAGAUCUCCAGGGUUGAUUUGGCUGAUCCGGCCGGCUAGGCGGGUGUCCCCUUCCUCCCUCACUGCUCCAUGUGCAUCCCUCCUGAAGCUGCACACUCGGUCAAAGAGGAUGACCCUCCCCACUAGAGGAGGACCGUUCUUUGGUCAUGGGUAUACAAGUAGCUGCGCUCCUGUUAGAACCUCUAAACAAGCUCUUAAGAUUCUUAUGUGUGAAGGGGUAUAAUAUUAUUUUAUUUUUUAUUUUAAUUUUUUAAAAUUUUA
rnacentral:snRNA from 1 species